AUCUUGAAAGGAGCUUGUAUCACGAUACAACACACAUGUCGUCCCUCACCGUGGAACAGGGACCAGGUGGCGUGGAAGUGGUAACGGUGAUAAUGCUGACGAUUCCGAGAGCUUUCACUGUGCAGCUCAUUACGCAGAAAGAGCAGAAAUCCCACCGCGACCAGUUGAGGUCUUUAUCGUCGAGAUAUGUGUUGUGGUAAGCAAGAAUUACACAGCAGCGUUCAACUCAAGCGAAGAUCUCGUGAUGUACAUUGGUGCAAUGAUGA